UACGAAGGGGGCUAGCGUUGUUCGGAAUUACUGGGCGUAAAGGGCGCGUAGGCGGUACUUCAAGUCAGGCGUGAAAGCCCCGGGCUCAACCUGGGAACCGCGCUUGAGACUGGAGAACUAGAGUUCGGGAGAGGAUGGUGGAAUUCCCAGUGUAGAGGUGAAAUUCGUAGAUAUUGGGAAGAACACCGAUGGCGAAGGCAGCCAUCUGGUCCGACACUGACGCUGAGGCGCGAAAGCGUGGGGAGCAAACAGG
rnacentral:rRNA from 1 species